AACGAACGCUGGCGGCAGGCUUAACACAUGCAAGUCGAACGCCCCGCAAGGGGAGUGGCAGACGGGUGGGUAACGCGUGGGAACAUACCCUUUUCUACGGAAUAGCUCUGGGAAACUGGAAUUAAUACCGUAUACGCCCUACGGGGGAAAGAUUUAUCGGGGAAGGAUUGGCCCGCGUUGGAUUAGCUAGUUGGUGGGGUAAAGGCCUACCAAGGCGACGAUCCAUAGCUGGUCUGAGAGGAUGAUCAGCCACAUUGGGACUGAGACACGGCCCAAACUCCUACGGGAGGCAGCAGUGGGGAAUAUUGGACAAUGGGCGCAAGCCUGAUCCAGCCAUGCCGCGUGAGUGAUGAAGGCCUCAGGGUUGUAAAGCUCUUUCACCGAUGAAGAUAAUGACGGUAGCCGGAGAAGAAGCCCCGGCUAACUUCGUG
rnacentral:rRNA from 1 species